rnacentral:rRNA from 1 species
CGCGUAGGCGGCCCUGCAAGUCCGAUGUGAAAUCCCUCGGCUCAACCGGGGACCCGCGUCGGAAACUGCAGGGCUUGAGUGCAGGAGAGGAGAGCGGAAUUCCCAGAGUAGCGGUGAAAUGCGUAGAUACUGGGAGGAACACCGGUGGCGAAGGCGGCUCUCUGGACUGCUUCUGACGCUGAGGCGCGAAAGCUAGGGGAGUAAACGGGAUUAGAUACCCCGGUAGUCCUAGCCGUAAACGUUGGGCACUAGGUGUGGGAGGUAUCGACCCCUUCCGUGCCGCAGCUAACGCAUUAAGUGCCCCGCCUGGGGAGUACGGCCGCAAGGUUGAA